UAGUGGCGGACGGGUGAGUAACGCGUGGGUAACCUGCCUUGUACAGGGGGAUAACAGUUAGAAAUGACUGCUAAUACCGCAUAAGCGCACAGUAUCGCAUGAUACGGUGUGAAAAACUCCGGUGGUACAAGAUGGACCCGCGUCUGAUUAGCUAGUUGGUGAGGUAACGGCUUACCAAGGCGACGAUCAGUAGCCGACUUGAGAGAGUGAUCGGCCACAUUGGGACUGAGACACGGCCCAAACUCCUACGGGAGGCAGCAGUGGGGAAUAUUGGGCAAUGGGCGAAAGCCUGACCCAGCAACGCCGCGUGAGGGAUGAAGGUUCUCUGGAUUGUAAACCUCUGUCCUAAGUGACGAAGGAAGUGACGGUAGCUUAGGAGGAAGCCCCGGCUAACUACGUGCCAGCAGCCGCGGUAAUACGUAGGGGGCGAGCGUUGUCCGGAAUGACUGGGCGUAAAGGGCGCGUAGGCGGCUAUUUAAGUUAGGAGUGAAAGUCCUGCUUUCAAGGUGGGAAUUGCUUUUAAUACUGGAUAGCUUGAGUGCAGAAGAGGUAAGCGGAAUUCCAAGUGUAGCGGUGAAAUGCGUAGAGAUUUGGAAGAACACCAGUGGCGAAGGCGGCUUACUGGGCUGUAACUGACGCUGAGGCGCGAAAGCGUGGGGAGCGAACAGGAUUAGAUACCCUGGUAGUCCACGCUGUAAACGAUGAAUGCUAGGUGUAGGGGGUAUCGACCCCUCCUGUGCCGCAGUAAACACAAUAAGCAUUCCGCCUGGGGAGUACGGCCGCAAGGUUGAAACUCAAAGGAAUUGACGGGGGCCCGCACAAGCAGCGGAGCAUGUGGUUUAAUUCGAAGCAACGCGAAGAACCUUACCAGGUCUUGACAUCGAUGUAAAGGCAUACGAAAAUAUGCUGAGCUGCUUUGGCCGACAGAAGACAGGUGGUGCAUGGUUGUCGUCAGCUCGUGUCGUGAGAUGUUGGGUUAAGUCCCGCAACGAGCGCAACCCUUAUGAUCAGUUACUAACACGCAAAGGUGAGGACUCUGAUAAGACCGCCGGGGUCAACUCGGAGGAAGGUGGGGACGACGUCAAAUCAUCAUGCCCCUUAUGACCUGGGCUACACACGUGCUACAAUGGUGGAAACAAAGAGCAGCGAAGUUGUGAAGCAGAGCGAAUCUCAAAAAAGCCAUCUCAGUUCGGACUGUGGGCUGCAACCCGCCCACACGAAGUUGGAGUUGCUAGUAAUCGCGGAUCAGAACGCCGCGGUGAAUACGUUCCCGGGCCCUGUACACACCGCCCGUCACACCAUGGGAGUUGGGAGCACCCGAAG
rnacentral:rRNA from 1 species